UACAGAGGUCUCAAGCGUUGUUCGGAUUCAUUGGGCGUAAAGGGUGCGUAGGUGGCGCCAUAAGUCGGGUGUGAAAUCUCGGGGCUUAACUCCGAAACUGCAUUCGAUACUGUGGUGCUUGAGGACUGGAGAGGAGACUGGAAUUCAUGGUGUAGCAGUGAAAUGCGCAGAGAUCAUGAGGAAGACCAGUGGCGAAGGCGGGUCUCUGGACAGUUCCUGACACUGAGGCACGAAGGCCAGGGGAGCAAACGGG
rnacentral:rRNA from 1 species